GAAGCUUUGCUUUGUUCGCCAAUUCUUCUAAGCCAAGUCAGCCGGAUGUAUUUAGAUCCAUUCCCAAAGCCUUAUCAGUACAGUAUAUUAGAUUUUGUCCUGACGGACACUUGAGACGAGUUGGACACGGAUAGGUGGAAACAAGUUGCAGAUCUGCUUUCAGCUCCGAAUGAAUGUUUCUACCCUAUAGUUUGCGGGAACUAUGGAAUUUGCUCCAAUGGGCAGUGCCGUUCUCCUUCAACAACUUAUUUCAAGCAAAUANNNNNUGCCUAAUCAUGGGUUUUCUGAAACUACUCCCUUGUCUUGUGAAGCUUCUCUAAAUCACGGUUUUAUAGAGCUCAACGAUACAACAUAUUCCCCCCUUCUCAGUGAUCUUAAAAAUGUGGAUUUGGAUCCA
rnacentral:misc_RNA from 1 species